rnacentral:rRNA from 1 species
UCCAGAGGGGGCAAGCGUUGUUCGGAAUUACUGGGCGUAAAGGGCGCGUAGGCGGCCUGUUAAGUCGAACGUGAAAUCCCCGGGCUCAACCCGGGAACUGCGUCCGAUACUGGCUGGCUUGAAUCCGGGAGAGGGAUGCAGAAUUCCAGGUGUAGCGGUGAAAUGCGUAGAUAUCUGGAGGAACACCGGUGGCGAAGGCGGCAUCCUGGACCAACACUGACACUGAGGAGCGAAAGCCAGGGGAGCAAACGGG